rnacentral:rRNA from 1 species
GAUGAACGCUAGCGGCAGGCCUAAUACAUGCAAGUCGAGGGGUAUAAGGAGCUUGCUUCUUUGAGACCGGCGCACGGGUGCGUAACGCGUAUGCAACCUACCUUAAUCAGGGGGAUAGCCCGGAGAAAUUCGGAUUAACACCGCAUAAAAUCACAGUAUUGCAUAAUACAAUGAUCAAAUAUUUAUAGGAUUAAGACGGGCAUGCGUGUCAUUAGCUAGUUGGUAAGGUAACGGCUUACCAAGGCGACGAUGACUAGGGGAUCUGAGAGGAUUACCCCCAACACUGGUACUGAGACACGGUCCAGACUCCGACGGGAGGGAGCAGUAAGGAAUAUUGGUCAAUGGACGCAAGUCUGAACCAGCCAUGCCGCGUGCAGGAUGACUGCCCUAUGUGUUGUAAACUGCUUUUAUAUAGGAAUAAAUGUACUUACGUGUAAGUAUUUGAAUGUACUAUAGGAAUAAGGAUCGGCUAACUCCGUGCCAGCCGCCGCCGUAA